GAUCUUUAUAUAAUAAUUUAUUUUUAUAAAAAUAAGUUUAUUUUUUUUUUUUAAAAGUUAAUUUAUAUUUUAUUGGGGUAAUAAUAAAAUUUUAUAAAUUUUUAUUUAUUAAUUACAAUUUUAAUUGAUUUAUUGAUCCAGUAUUAUUGAUUAUAAAGUUAAGUUACCUUAGGGAUAACAGCGUAAUGAUUUUUGAGAGUUCUUAUCGAUAAAAUAGUUUGU
rnacentral:rRNA from 1 species